rnacentral:tRNA from 1 species
GGGCGUUUAGCUCAGUGGUAGAGCGUUUCGUUGACAUCGAAAAGGUCACAGGUUCGAUCCCUGUAACGCCCA